rnacentral:rRNA from 1 species
UAAUACGUAGGCAGCGAGCGUUGUUCGGAGUUACUGGGCGUAAAGGGUGUGUAGGCGGUUCCUUAAGUUUGGUGUGAAAUCUCCCGGCUUAACCGGGAGGGUGCGCCGAAUACUGAGGGGCUUGGAGUGCGGGAGAGGAAAGUGGAAUUCCUGGUGUAGCGGUGAAAUGCGUAGAUAUCAGGAGGAACACCGGUGGUGUAGACGGCUUUCUGGACCGUAACUGACGCUGAGACACGAAAGCGUGGGUAGCAAACAGG